AAUAAAUCUCUCUCUUUCUCAAUAAUAUUUUCAUUUAACGUCUUCUUCUCUUUCUCUUUUAUUUUUUCAGUCUCUCUUCGUCGCUUUCUUUCUUCUUCUCCUGCAACUAAAGCGUGAACAUGAAUCCAUGAAAGAGAAGCAGCUGGUUGUCGACCACCAUCGAAGAAUCUGGGCUCUGUUCACGGCAACCUGCAUCAUGGGACUCUUCUCACUGUAACAAGGCUCCUCGCGCAGAGCAUAUCCCAGAUCCGUGAAGGUACACAUCGAAUCCCAGAUCCGGCAAUCACACCUCCUCCCACUGCAGUCACCUCUCCUCUCUUGCGAGAAAAGAAUCCAACACGCCAGGAACGUCUUGGGAGGGAGCAUGUCUUCUCUUCACCGACGCCUGAAUCCCAGGGAUGAAGAAGAAGAAAACCAUGGCUGGAUGGUCAGAAGAUGAAAAAGACUAGAAGACGGCGGCUGGGAAUAGGUUUA